rnacentral:lncRNA from 1 species
AGAGGAAAAGAGAGGAUCAACUCGGCGGCAAAUCUGUCUCCCCCAGCAGGUCGCGUUUUUUCGCCCACCAAGCAAGUCGUUUUGUAUGUAGGUCAAUGACAAUGUCGAAUUUGGUCAACUAAAAUAUGAAUGCUUUAUAUGCUACGUGAGAUUAAUUUGAUCGAAUAGAAGUUUCGUAAUGCUUUAAUUGUUAUGAGUGUACAGAUAUAAGUAGGACACGUGACAUCCCGGCAACUUUGAGAAACAACACUUUUUUAUUGGAGUUGCCUCGAGAUGACCAUGCAUAUUCAUGUAAUGAGGCAGUAGCAUAGCAUAGAAAGGAUAGGCGGGAACUAGACAGACCCUUUGUGGACAACAACUCCCAUUUUUAGGGCGGAGAGACAUGUAGUAUCUUGUCAGUAUAUCCAUUAUCUUUGGCUAAAUACAAACGACAUAAUCCCGUGUUGAAAUGGAUUGAGAUUACGUCAACUAAGAAACAAUAUAUUUUUUAGCCACACCUAUCAGUCAUUGAGAUAUAUAUGAAUAAUUAUAUGUUCGUGGAUUUCAUUGUUUUUUUUAGCUCGCCAUGACUCUGAGCAUGUCUCCGGCUGCGGUGUGCCAGUGCUUUACGCUGGUGUCACUGUGCACAUCCAUUGCCGACCCAAACUGGAUCCAAGUCAUGAACAACACUGACCCCGGAGGCAAACAGCUCAUCUAUGGUGUGGCUUUCAUACUGCAUGCUCCCCAGAACCUCACUGACACAGGUCCCCUGGGUGGCGUAAAUGGCUGGGGUGUGUGGCUGCUCUAUGCCCUGGCGGCUCUGUGCUACAGUGCUGUCCUGCUCUCCAGCUCCUCCUUCCUAUUGGACUUCCUGGGGACUGGGAUGUCCCACCCUCGACUGGUGGUGUUACUCCACAUCUCCACAGUGGUUCUCGUCCUGUCUGUUCUGGGAGUUUGUGGGGCCUGCCUGUACAUCAUCCACUGCAACUUUCAGGAGGGCAAGUUUGGGCCACUGUGGGAAUGGGUAGGGGGCUGGACCUGGCCUGGGUCUGGCUCCAGGAGCCAGGGAGGGGCGGCGGGGAUGAAGCCUUACCCAGGGGAGAGCUUCUACAUCACCAUGCUGGGCCUGCUCUUCUCCUGCCUGGCCGGUGUGAGCAGCCUGAGCAGCCUGGGGAACCCCACCUCCACCCAGAGGGACUACACAGCUGUGGUGGAGUGGGACGACAGUGACACAGAGCCCCUUACCCCCAGAGAGCAGGGAGUGGGACAGUCUGACGAAGAGGAGGGGGUAGGAGACGUGUUGCCUGAACUGCCUCAGGGGGAGGUGGGUGGAAGUGGAGACUGCUAAAGGGGUUUCUAUGACCACUACAGAGGUAGAGGUUUGAAUGUGUGGCCCAAAAUGGCUUAGUUUCGAACUAGAAUGCAAACCAGGACCACACCACACAUGGCCUGUAACAGACUGAAUUAGACAGCAGUGCUGGCGCCUUCCCUGGUCAUGUUUUGAAUCCCUAAAGCUUCACUGGACCAAGCUGGUGGAAUCCAGUCAGGAGCCAAAAAAGAGACCAGAUACGUUUCCUAAUGUUGUUUUAAUGUUUGUCUGCCUAAAACAUGCCUUCUCGGGGUAUGUACAGUUGCACAACAUCAAGUCAAUAACCCAUUUAUGGGUUAAAAAAAAAAAUCCCUCACACUUGACUCGACCAAUAUAAAUCGUUCUUUGGCUAGCUGUGAUAUUUGGAAAAGUGUGACAAGAAUGUAACGCGGUUAAGCUAUUUCUGUCUGUGUGUGACCAGGGAAAGUGAGAGUCUGUAUGUUAUAAUCGAUGUGUGACACAAAUGAUAUGCCCUUCCUGCUCAUCAAUGGGAACAAGCUUUGACCCUGUUCACAUUACUGCAAAAUAACCACUGGGGAAUGUUCCGGAUCAGCGAAUGGUUUGUUACCAUCAGAACCAGAAAAUAUGUUCAAUGAACAGAAGUUCAGACUGCUCAACAUUGUGAUCCUAACAUAGCUCAUGUUUGUACAAUCACCUAUUCUCCUCUUCUAGUUAACCUUCAUCUAGGGAUUUUUAUGUUUUUCUGAUUCUUUUAACAGGUUGUUUUUUAACCUAUGCAUUAUUUUAACUUCUUAAACCCUUUGCACAGUCUUCCAUAGUGACACUUUAAGUUUCCCAAAUGGUGGAAACAAAUCACAGAUUUCUAUGGAAGAUUUACCUGAAGUGUACUGAAACUGGAGUUUCCUUUGAGAAAUUCAAUUUAAAAAGCCCGUUUUGGCUUCUAUUAUGGCCGCUAUAGCUUUAAUCACAAAUUGAGGAACUAUAUAUUAGCAUGGUUGUUUACUACUAUAGGAAAGAUUGAGUGGGGAUAGGAAGUCUUUCCUUUCCACAGUAGGUAGUGUAAAUACAUGGUUCUUGCUUUAAAUGACUUGCUAUCUAAUCAUAUUUGAAUAUGACGUAUUCAAUAUUUGAUGUACUUAAAUAUUUAUUGUUUCAUAAAAUGACACUGCUAUUGGUCACUAGAUACUUCAGAUCACUGUGAAAAUAUAUCCCAGUUUGGCAUCUUUAGACGUCUACAUUACAGCACAAACCACUGUAUGUAUGCUUAUCCUACUUGAAGGUAACCAAUAAGACAAGCUACUUGAUGGUGCUUGGUUGCAUGUGAUGGUAGGACCAUGGAUAUUGACUUGAUAAAUUAAGAUGGCUGCCUAGAAUCAGGUUUUCCUUACCCACUUAUACCCUCAAGGCCUGUUUCCUGGACAUAGAUUAAUCUUUGUCCUGGACUAGGAAACAUUUUCAAUGGAGAUUAUGUUUUUAGUUCAAGACUAGGCUUAAUAUGUGUCCGGGAAACCGUCAAUCUUUUCCUCAGGUACAUAGGAAGACAUUCCUUCUCUUAUUCCAGGGUCACAGUCCCAUCUCUAUGAAUCAGACUUUUCAUUGUUGUUGUUUAUGAUGCUAUUUAUUCAUUAAACUAUUUUUGCGUAUUUGUAAAACAUGUGUACAUGCAU